AUGUAACUCAGCCUUGCUCAGCUAUAAAUACAAUGCCCUUGCCUCUCAUUUUAGCAACCUUAAGGCGCCCCAAUUGCCGCUGAAUUGAAAUCCUAGCCAUCACUAAAGGAACUAAUCCAUUUUUCUUCAAAUUUUUCAGAUCUGAAUUUUGAUUUCAUUGAUCAAUCUUUAGAUCUCAAAGUUCCUAAACCUUCUCUCCUUGAUCCAUAGUGACUACUGUAAGCAAAAGCAUCCAAAGAUCGUGACUCAAAGCCUUGCAAUUCA
rnacentral:lncRNA from 1 species